rnacentral:rRNA from 1 species
CCUACGGGCGGCAGCAGUGGGGAAUAUUGCGCAAUGGGCGAAAGCCUGACGCAGCGACGCCGCGUGAGGGAUGAAGGUCUUCGGAUCGUAAACCUCUGUCAGCAGGGAAGAACGGUCACUGUGCUAAUCAGCAGUGAAUUGACGGUACCUGCAAAGGAAGCACCGGCUAACUCCGUGCCAGCAGCCGCGGUAAUACGGAGGGUGCGAGCGUUAAUCGGAAUUACUGGGCGUAAAGCGCUCGUAGGCGGUAUGUCAAGUCAAGGGUGAAAUCCCCGAGCUCAACGUGGGAAUUGCCUUUGAAACUGGCAAACUGGAGUGUGUGAGAGGAUGGUGGAAUUCCAGGUGUAGGGGUGAAAUGCGUAGAUAUCUGGAGGAACAUCGGUGGCGAAGGCGACUAUCUGGCACAUAACUGACGCUGAGGAGCGAAAGCGUGGGUAGCAAACAGGAUUAGAUACCCGAGUAGUC